rnacentral:tRNA from 1 species
GGAGGAAUAGCUCAGUGGUACAGCACAUGCUUAGCAUGCAAGAGGUCCUGGGUUUAAUCCCCAGUACCUCCA